CCUACGGGUGGCAGCAGUGGGGAAUAUUGGACAAUGGGGGCAACCCUGAUCCAGCCAUGCCGCGUGUGUGAAGAAGGCCCUCGGGUUGUAAAGCACUUUCAGUGAGGAAGAACGCCUGGUGGUUAAUACCCAUCAGGAAAGACAUCACUCACAGAAGAAGCACCGGCUAACUCCGUGCCAGCAGCCGCGGUAAUACGGAGGGUGCGAGCGUUAAUCGGAAUUACUGGGCGUAAAGCGCGCGUAGGUGGCUUGAUAAGCCGGUUGUGAAAGCCCCGGGCUCAACCUGGGAACGGCAUCCGGAACUGUCAAGCUAGAGUGCAGGAGAGGAAGGUAGAAUUCCCGGUGUAGCGGUGAAAUGCGUAGAGAUCGGGAGGAAUACCAGUGGCGAAGGCGGCCUUCUGGACUGACACUGACACUGAGGUGCGAAAGCGUGGGUAGCAAACAGGAUUAGAUACCCUGGUAGUCC
rnacentral:rRNA from 1 species